rnacentral:rRNA from 1 species
CCUACGGGUGGCUGCAGUGGGGAAUUUUCCGCAAUGGGCGAAAGCCUGACGGAGCAACGCCGCGUGGGGGAGGAAGGCUCUUGGGUUGUAAACCCCUUUUGCUAGGGAAGAAGAAAGUGACGGUACCUAGCGAAUCAGCAUCGGCUAACUCCGUGCCAGCAGCCGCGGUAAUACGGAGGAUGCAAGCGUUAUCCGGAAUUAUUGGGCGUAAAGCGUCCGCAGGUGGUCGCUCAAGUCUGCCGUCAAAGGUCGAAGCUCAACUUCGGAAAGGCGGU